rnacentral:sRNA from 1 species
CUUGUAAGCCGCCAUCCG